GAUGAAGAACGUAGCGAAAUGCGAUACGUAAUGUGAAUUGCAGAAUUCAGUGAAUCAUCGAGUCUUUGAACGCACAUUGCGCCCCCUGGUAUUCCGGGGGGCAUGCCUGUCCGAGCGUCAUUGCUGCCCUCAAGCACGGCUUGUGUGUUGGGCCUCCGCCCCCCGGCUCCCGGGGGGCGGGCCCGAAAGGCAGCGGCGGCACCGCGUCCGGUCCUCGAGCGUAUGGGGCUUCGUCAACCGCUCCGUAGGCCCGGCCGGCGCCCGCCGGCGACCCCCCUCAAUCUUUCCAGGUUGACCUCGGAUCAGGUAGGGAUACCCGCUGAACUUAAGCAUAUCAAAAGCGGAGGA
rnacentral:misc_RNA from 1 species